GAUGAACGCUGACAGAAUGCUUAACACAUGCAAGUCUACUUGAUUCUACUUCGGUAGUUGAUGGUGGCGGACGGGUGAGUAACGCGUAAAGAAUCUGCCCUUUAGUUCAGGAUAACCUUUGGAAACGAAGGAUAAUACCGGAUAUUAUGGAGACGUCGCAUGACGAUUUCAUGAAAGCUAUAUGCGCUAGAGGAGGACUUUGCGUCCCAUUAGUUAGUUGGUGAGGUAAUGGCUCACCAAGACCGCGAUGGGUAGCCGGCCUGAGAGGGUGAUCGGCCACAAGGGAACUGAGACACGGUCCCUACUCCUACGGGAGGCAGCAGUGGGGAAUAUUGGACAAUGGGCCACAAGCCUGAUCCAGCAAUUCUGUGUGCACGAUGAAGGCCUUCGGAUUGUAAAGUGCUUUCAGUAGGGAAGAAAAAAAUGACGGUACCUACAGAAGAAGCGACGGCUAAAUAUGUGCCAGCCGCCGCGGUAACAC
rnacentral:rRNA from 1 species